GCUAGGCGUGGUGGUGGGCGCCUGUAAUCCCAGCUACUCAGGAGGCUGAGGCAGGAGAAUCGUUUGAACCUGGGAGGUGGAGGUUGCAGUGAGCCAAGAUCACACCACUGCACUCCAGCCUGGGUGACAGAGCGAGACCCUGUCUCAU
rnacentral:SRP_RNA from 1 species